rnacentral:rRNA from 1 species
GAGUUUGAUCCUGGCUCAGGACGAACGCUGGCGGCGUGCUUUAUACAUGCAAGUCGAACGAUGAAGUUCCUUCGGGAAUGGAUUAGUGGCGAACGGGUGAGGAACACGUGAGGCACCUGCCUUUCAUUCUGGGAAACACGGGAACCGUGCUAAUACCGGAUACUCCAUCUUGGCGGCAUCGCCGAGCUGGGAAAAAUUNUGAUGAAAGAUGGUCUCGCGGCCUAUCAGCUAGUUGGUGAGGUAAAGGCUCACCAAGGCGACGACGGGUAGCCGGCCUGAGAGGGCGACCGGCCACACUGGGACUGAGACACGGCCCAGACUCCUACGNGAGGCAGCAGUAGGGAAUAUUGGGCAAUGGGCGAAAGCUUGACCCAGCGACGCCGCGUGAGGGAUGAAGGUCUUCGGAUUGUAAACCUCUUUCAGUAGGGAAGAAGCGAAAGUGACGGUACCUAAAGAAGAAGCACCGGCUAACUAUGUGCCAGCAGCCGCGNUAAUACAUAGUGUGCAAGCGUUGUCCGGAAUUAUUGGGCSUAAAGAGCUCGUAGGUCGUUUGUCGCGUCGAUUGUGAAAAUCUGAGGCUCAACCUCAGACCUGCAGUCGAUACGGCAAACUAGAGUGUGGUAGGGAGACUGGAAUUMCUGGUGUGGCGGUGGAAUGCGCAGAUAUCAGGAGGAACACCAAUGGCGAAGGCAGGUCUCUGGGCCAUAACUGACACUGAGGAGCGAAAGUGCGGGGAGCGAACAGGAUUAGAUACCCUGGUAGUCCGCACGUAAACGGUGGGCACUAGUUGUGGGAACCUUCCACGGUUUCCGCGACGCAGCAAACGCAUUAAGUGCCCCGCCUGGGGAGUACGAUCGCAAGAUUAAAACUCAAAGAAAUUGACGGGGGCCUGCACAAGUGGUGGAGCAUGUGGUUUAAUUCGAUGCAAUGCGAAGAACCUUAUCUGGGCUUGAUAUGAACUGGAAGAGUGGUAGAGAUGUUUUUGCUUGUAAGAGUUGGUUUAUAGGUGCUGCAUGGCUGUCGUCAGCUCGUGUCGUGAGAUGUUGGGUUAAGUCCCGCAAUGAGCGCAACCCUUACCUUUAGUUGCCAGCAUUUAGUUGGGCACUCUAAAGGGACUGCCUGCGUUAAGCAGGAGGAAGGUGGGGAUGACGUCAAGUUCUCAUGGCCUUUAUGUUCAGGGCUACAUAUGUGUUACAAUGGUGGUCACAGAGGGAAGCCAAGCCGCAAGGUGGAGCCAAUCCCUUAAAAGCCAUCUAAGUUCAGAUUGGUCUCUGCAACUCGAGAUCAUGAAGUUGGAAUCGCUAGUAAUCGCGGAUCAGAAUGCCGCGGUGAAUACGUUCCCGGGCCUUGUACACACGAUCGUAUUCCCG